UCCGUAGGUGAACCUGCGGAAGGAUCAUUAGUAAAGUCACGGGGAAACCCCCUGAAAAGGGUCUCCCCGACCUUACCGAAACCCCAUCCAUGUUGCUUUCCCGGGUCGAGGGUCGGUUCUCGGUAACCGUCCUCCCCCGGGGUUUGGCCACGAAGAAAACCUUUUUUAUAAACUGUCGUCUGAAAGGGCGUUCGGCCUGAAAACGAAAACAAGUUAAAACUUUCAACAACGGAUCUCUUGGUUCUCGCAUCGAUGAAGAACGCAGCGAAAUGCGAUAAGUAAUGUGAAUUGCAGAAUUCAGUGAAUCAUCGAAUCUUUGAACGCACAUUGCGCCCUCCGGUAUUCCGGGGGGCAUGCCUGUUCGAGCGUCACAAAAGCCAAUCUCACACUAGUUGUGGUCAUGGUGGAUGUGCGAGGGGCGGACCCCUAACCGGGCCGUACCUGCACACCGCUGAAAUCCAAUGGCGGGCCGCCUCCGGGAACCUGACGUAGUAAGCACAACUCUCGUCGUGUUCACCCGGAUGGAAAGCUGCCCUGCCCUUUGAACCCCCGAUACAUUCUGGUUGACCUCGGAUCAGGUAGGGAUACCCGCUGAACUUAAGCAUAUCAAUAAGGCGGGAGGGGGAAGGUCGGAUGGCCAAGGGCACACAGGGGGGAUA
rnacentral:rRNA from 1 species